UGUCGCCUAUUUGCCUCCCAAGCACCGUUUAGUUUUCCUGGUGGCUUGGGACUUCCUAUAUCGGCGGCAGAUAAAUCCAACUUCUCGAGCAAUAUCUUCGUUGUGGUAUUUCUGCUGCAACGGAGGUCUCGAAAGUUGUACA
rnacentral:snoRNA from 1 species